rnacentral:rRNA from 1 species
UACGAAGGGGGCUAGCGUUGUUCGGAAUUACUGGGCGUAAAGCGCACGUAGGCGGAUCGAUCAGUCAGGGGUGAAAUCCCAGAGCUCAACUCUGGAACUGCCUUUGAUACUGUCGAUCUAGAGUAUGGAAGAGGUGAGUGGAAUUCCGAGUGUGGAGGUGAAAUUCGUAGAUAUUCGGAGGAACACCAGUGGCGAAGGCGGCUCACUGGUCCGAUUACUGACGCUGAGGUGCGAAAGCGUGGGGAGCAAACAGG